rfam:Oryza barthii chromosome 4, whole genome shotgun sequence.
AAAAAGGUAAAAUAUGGGUUUUCGUGUCCAAUUUUGACUGUCCGUCUUAUAUGAAUUUUGUUUAUAAUUUAUAUUUUUAUUAUUGUUAGAUGAUAAAACAUGAUUAAUAUUUUGUACGUGACUUGUCUUUUUAAUUUUUUUAAUAAUUUUUUCAAAUAAGACGGACGGUUAAACGUUAGACAAAAAAACAAGGUUUGUCUUUUU